rnacentral:lncRNA from 1 species
UUGAAACCGCCAAAAAAAAAAAAAAUUACAGAAAGUUAACACGUGAAGCCAAAGGGAGAAACCACCCAUUUCGACACUCAAUAAAGAGAAAAUCCUCCCCUCCUAGCUCGGCCGCGCCUCAGUUGGCCGGCAGCACUUCCACCGUCGGUCGUCGUCAUCAUUUCCGGCCACACUUCGAUCGCACCCAUUUUCCCCAAAUUAUGCACUUUCCAUCUCCACCAUUUCGACACUUAGACGGGAGAACGCAGCGAACGAAAAUCAAACAAAAGGUAAACAUUUCUUCUAUCGUUCAACAACAACAACAACUUCUUAGGUACUGUAUUCAUCACACUGUACAAAGAUGUAUCACUACGAUUCAAAAUAAGUGCCUGGUUCCUUUCUAGGUAGAAUUGUGUUUCUAUUUCCAAAGGUUGUACAAAAAUUAGAUGGCAUCUCAGAAUUCUUUUACUAGUGUUUAAUUGAAGAUGGUUUCUAGUUCAAAGCAUGCUUUUAUGGUGGAUGCAGAUUGGUUACAUUGUUUAAACAUCAUUUGAACUUUUCUUUGAGUAUAAUUUGAGGGUUUUCUGUACCCCUUCUUACCUUGAAGAAGCGGGAGAACCCAAUAAUGUCUUUUUGGCUAAUCUUGUCCUUUGAAUUUAGAGUUUAGAUGUAAAACCAGAAGGUAAAAGAGAGAAUAUAAACUUUGAUUCGUGAUUUAUUUACACACGACUGAAUUGCUUUACUUGCCAAUCAGAAUAGUAUAGCGUCAUGUAGAGGUGGUGACCUGAAUGGUAAUUGAACUAGAAAAAAAAUGGUUGAAAUUGGCUUCAAAGUUUGAUCAAUUAUGAAGGAAGAUAUUGAAGUUUUGUGCUUUUCGACAGUGCAAGAAACCCUCUCAUCUAUUUCUUUUUAAUGUCUUCUAGGUAGGACAAGAAGUCAAUUCGGCUAUACACGCAAGAUUGUAGAGGAGAGCUUUGUUCAUCACGUCUAAGUUAUGGUGCAGAACAUCUCCUGGGGUUUAAAACGACUAUUGUUUAACUAGAUGUUUAUUCUGCAAGUUAGAAGAUAAGUUAUAGAUGUUUCUAACAGAGUGUGAUUUUAUGGUGAAUGUAAGGUGCAAUGAGUUGACUCCUGAAAGAGUUCGCCUAGCCUAUUGAAGAAAAGAGGAAAUUUGGAAGAACGAAAUGAAAUUCUCGUUUAAUCAAUCUGAUUAUCAGUACAAUGGUGAGCUUAAAUAGAAUUGGUUAACUGAUUCUAACAAUCAACUAACUAACUAACUUGACAACUGUACACAACUAAUUUCUAGCUAAAUUUGGCGCCUAAAUCAUCUUGAGCUGAGCUGGUUGUUCUGUUGGCUGAUCUACUGAGCUGCCUGAUGCUCAUUUAUUCUAAUACAGCCCUCCAAAAUACACUUCAAGAACUGAAACUUGACUACCUUGAUCUCUAUUUGGUGUUUUUCUUAUACAUAUUUGUUUCCUUCAAAUAUGCUAUAAAGUUACCUGUUAAAGUGUCAUUUUCUCUAUUGAUAUGUAAGAUCCAUUGGCCAUUCCACUUGAAAGAUGAAGCCAAUAGACCUCCAAAAGUAGGGAACAUUUUGGAUUUCGACAUGGAAGGAGUUUGGGAGGAAAAUGGAGAAACUUGUGAAUGACAAUCUUGUUAGAGACAUUGGAGUUUGCAAUUUCACACUAAAGAAACUGCAUAAGUUACUAAGUGUUGCUAAGAUAAAGCCUUCUGUAUGCCAAGUCUGAAUUUUGGAUUCUACGUGAUCGUUUUUUAAUUGCAACGGAAAUCUCAUAUAAUAUAUUUUAUGUUGUUUUUUGUUUUUAGAUGGAGAUGCAUUUGGGAUGGAGGAAUGACAAAAUGGUGGAGGCCUGUAAGAAAAAUGGAAUCCAUGUUAUGGUAAUACAUGUCCAUACCAUAGUUUUGGACAUUGAGGAGUUAUUUAGUUUGGAGUUAAGAAAUAUUAUAUUGAUGAUAUGUCUUUUGCCUCCUGCAGAAACGAGUAUUGAAAAAGCUAACAGUGAUAGCUUGUUCGCGAACAAGCGAUAGGGACCUUACAUGAAUGUGGCUGAUACUUGGGACCACGAAGAUUAUGAUAUCGAUAGUCUAUAGUAACUGAGCAGCUAGCAAUGGUCAAUCUUGAAUCUUUAUGCACUGUUUGAUCUCUCAGGGCUUGUUUUAUCAGUUUAUGUAUAUUGUGUCAUAAUAGUACUUGUUCACAUCUGCAAUAGUUCGAUCUCUUAGGUUUGUUUUAUCAUUUUAUGUAUGUUCUUACUAUCAUAAUGGUACUUAUUCUCAUCUGCAAUAGAGUCUAUUUGACAUAGACAGUGUAGUCAAUUAUAU